rnacentral:rRNA from 1 species
GACCCGAAACCGAGUGACCUAUCCAUGUGCAGGUUGAAGCGGGAGUAAAAUCACGUGGAGGACCGAACCCACUUCUGUUGAAAAAGGAGGGGAUGACGUGUGGAUAGCGGAGAAAUUCUAAUCGAACUCGGAGAUAGCUGGUUCUCCCCGAAAUAGCUUUAGGGCUAGCCUUGUCUUAGUUUAACGGAGGUAAAGCACUGAAUAGGCUAGGGGCCGUAUAGGUUACCGAACCUUAUCAAACUCAGAAUGCCGUAUAAAUGAUGGACAGGAGUCAGACUAUGGGAGAUAAGUUUCAUAGUCAAAAGGGAAACAGCCCAGACCUACAGCUAAGGUCCCAAAAUGGAUUUAAGUGGAAAAGGAUGUCGAGAUGCAAAAACAACCAGGAUGUUGGCUUAGAAGCAGCCACACAUUAAAAGAGUGCGUAAUAGCUCACUGGUCGAGUGACUCGGCGCCGAAGAUGUAACGGGGCUAAAAUCCAUACCGAAGCUUAGGCAGUAGAAAUACUGGGUAGGGGAGCAUUGUGUAGUAGGGAGAAGUCACUCUGAAAGGAGUGGUGGACAAAGCACAAGAGAGAAUGCCGGAAUGAGUAGCGAGAAUUAUGUGAGAAUCAUAAUGGUCGAAAACCUAAGGUUUCUUGAGGAAGGUUCGUCCGCUCAAGGUAAGCCGGGAGCUAAGGCGAGGCCGAAAGGCGUAGUCGAUGCACAUACGGUUAAAAUUCCGUAGCCACCGUAGUCGCUAAUGCAGUAAGGGACGCAGGAACGGAGCCAGACCCCACCGUUGGUAGAGUGGGGCGUAAGGGAGCGAAAUUAAAGUAGCGAAGCUGGCGCAAGUACACUGACGAGAAAAGCUUAUUGUAUUGACGAAGGUGCCCGUACCGUAAACCGACACAGGUAGGUGAGGAGAGAAUCCUAAGACCAACGGGAGAAAUGUUGUUAAGGAACUCGGCAAAAUUACCUCGUAACUUCGGGAGAAGAGGUGCCGGCUAAGGCCGGCCGCAGAGAAUAGGCCCAAGCGACUGUUUAGCAAAAACACAGGUCUCUGCUAAGUCGAAAGACGACGUAUAGGGGCUGACGCCUGCCCGGUGCUGGAAGGUUAAGGGGAAGAGUUAGGGGUAACCCGAAGCUUAGAACCGAAGCCCCAGUAAACGGCGGCCGUAACUAUAACGGUCCUAAGGUAGCGAAAUUCCUUGUCAGGUAAGUUCUGACCCGCACGAAUGGCGUAACGAUUUGGGCGCUGUCUCAACAACAUGCCCGGCGAAAUUGUAGUACCGGUGAAGAUGCCGGUUACCCGCGACAAGACGGAAAGACCCCAUGGAGCUUUACUGUAACCUGAUACUGGAUUUUGAUAUUUUAUGUACAGGAUAGGUGGGAGGCAGAGAACCAAGGACGCCAGUCUUUGGGGAGCCGCUGUUGGGAUACCACUCUUAAAAUAUCGGAAUUCUAACCGGACGCCGUGAAACCGGUGACGGGACAAUGUCAGGUGGACAGUUUGACUGGGGCGGUCGCCUCCUAAAAGGUAGCGGAGGCGUUCAAAGGUUGGCUCAGUACGGACGGAAAUCGUACAAAGAGUGCCAACGCAAAAGCCAGUCUAACUGCGAGACAGACACGUCGAGCAGUAACGAAAGUUGGAGUUAGUGAUCCGGGGGUAGAGAGUGGAAUUGCCGGUCGCUCACCGGAAUACAGUUACCCUGGGGGAUACCGGGCUUAAUCUCCCCCAAGAGUCCACAUCGA